GACGAACGCUGGCGGCGUGCUUAAUACAUGCAAGUCAACGAUUUUUAAGAUAGCAAUAUUUUAAAAAUAGUGGCGCACGGUGAGUAACACGUAGAUAAUCUGCCUUUAGGUCUGACAUAACUCGUCGAAAGACGGGCUAAUAUCAGAUAAAACAGUAACUUGGCAUCAAGUAAUUGUCAAAAGCUUCGGCGCCCAAAGAUGAGUCUGCGGACCAUUAGGUAGUUGGUGGAUUAACUGCCCACCAAGCCAACGAUGGAUAGCUGGUCUGAGAGAAUGAUCAGCCACACUGGAACUGAGACAACGGUCCAGACUCCUACGGGAGGCAGCAGUAAGGAAUAAUUGCUCAAUAGGGAGGAAAUACCUGAAGCAGCAACG
rnacentral:rRNA from 1 species